UACGGGGGGGGUAAGCGUUGUUCGGAAUUACUGGGCGUAAAGGGCUCGUAGGCGGCCAACUAAGUCGGACGUGAAAUCCCUCAGCUUAACUGGGGAACUGCGUCCGAUACUGGAUGGCUUGGAUUUGGGAGAGGGAUGCGGAAUUCCAGGUGUAGCGGUGAAAUGCGUAGAUAUCUGGAGGAAUACCGGUGGCGAAGGCGGCAUCCUGGACUAAUACUGACGCUGAGGCGCGAAAGCUAGGGGAGCAAACGGG
rnacentral:rRNA from 1 species